rnacentral:rRNA from 1 species
AGAAGUCGUAACAAGGUUUCCGUAGGUGAACCUGCGAAAGGAUCAUUGUCGAGGCCCGAACGGACAAUCGUGAACCCGUCAAUGCUCCUAGAGGGGCGGAGGGAUAGCGGCAUUCGCCCACUUGACCCCGCCACCCGAGGCACCCAUGGCCACCCCCGUCCCGCCUCAUUGCGCGACUGGUGGUAGGAACAAUACCCGGCGCGGUGGGCACCAAGGAACAUUCACAGUCGGAGAGUGCCGCAAGCUAGUUUUGGCAUGCGGUGCGAUCCUUCCAUACAAGUCGAACUUUUAUGACUCUCGGCAACGGAUAUCUUGGCUCUUGCAUCAAUGAAAAAUGUAGCAAAAUGCGAUACUUGGUGUGAAUUGCAGAAUCCCGUGAACCAUUGAGUCUUUGAACGCAAGUUGUGCUGGAGGCUAUCCAGCCGAGGGCAUGCCUGCCUGAACGUCAUGCCUCACGUCACUCCGUGCGCCCUGAGGCACUCUUCGAGCAGGGGUGGUGGUGGGCAUUGAUGCAGAGAUUGGCCCCCUAUGCCUUGCGACAUGGCGAGCCGAAGGGCAGGUUGCCGGCCGGGAACAAAUGUGGUGAGUGGUGGACGGACACGUACGGCGUCGGGCGCUGCCUUCACCCCCAGCUGCAGCGGUACAUGCAAUGAACCAACGCCGUCGGGUGCGCUCGUACGCGCCCCUCGGAACCCGACCCCAGGUCAGGCAAGGCCUCCCGCUGAGCUUAAGCAUAUAAAUAAGCGGAGGA